UCCCAAACUACCUGAAAGUAAUUGGCAAGGUGGGGAAACGUCAGUGUUCAAAAGUUUGCCAUGGCCAAAUACUCAGGUUCAUGUCAGCCUAUUUCUAUGUACACCCAGAAUCUGGGACUGGACAAAAGAAUGAAAUGAAUGAAAGAACAAAAGUGCUUUUUCCCCCUUAGUUUUCUAAAAUUGGGAAAGUGCAAUUGCAUCCCAUCUACUUGCUUUGUGCCAGAUUACUAACUAGCGUUGUUUCAGAGGCUGGAUGCAGAACUGGGAUGCAGUGGGAAGAACUGGUGCAGUUUAAAAGGUGGCAACCAGAACUGUCUUUCUUCUCACGAGAUGGAGUACCAAGCCUGUUCAUACACCUGAAAGCUGUCACUCUCCACAAGUGCAAUCUCUGUCUCCCUCACCACUGGGCAUCUGGAAGUCAAGAUAUCACUUACAGCAGCGCAUGUCAGAGAUAUUAAUUAAAUUCCUGAUGGCCACCCAGAGAACUUAAUGAAUGCAGAUUUCACAAUGUCCCAACUCAUAAAACUACAUGUUUAACCCAUUAAGUGUCAAUAUAUUUCUUCCAGGAGGAAAGAAAAAGGGAAAGUUGGCAGCCAAGGGAUUGUAUAAGAAAGAUUUGGGGGACAAAGGCAUCUAACGGACUUUCUGGAAGUCUGAAGAACAAUGU
rnacentral:lncRNA from 1 species